UACGUAGGGGGCUAGCGUUGUCCGGAUUUAUUGGGCGUAAAGAGCGUGUAGGCGGCCAGGUAGGUCUGCUGUGAAAACUCGAGGCUCAACCUCGAGACGUCGGCGGAAACCAUCUGGCUAGAGUCCGGAAGAGGAGAGUGGAAUUCCUGGUGUAGCGGUGAAAUGCGUUGAUAUCAGAAGGAACGCCGGUGGCGAAAGCGGCGGGCUGGAUCUCUACUGACGCUGAGGCGCGAAAGCUAGGGGAGCAAACGGG
rnacentral:rRNA from 1 species